AUACGUAGGGUGCGAGCGUUGUCCGAAUUACUGGGCGUAAAGAGCUCGUAGGUGGUUUGUCGCGUCGUCUGUGAAAUUCCGGGGCUUAACUCCGGGCGUGCAGGCGAUACGGGCAUAACUUGAGUACUGUAGGGGAGACUGGAAUUCCUGGUGUAGCGGUGAAAUGCGCAGAUAUCAGGAGGAACACCGGUGGCGAAGGCGGGUCUCUGGGCAGUAACUGACGCUGAGGAGCGAAAGCAUGGGUAGCGAACAGGAUUAGAUACCCUGGUAGUCCAUGCCGUAAACGGUGGGCGCUAGGUGUAGGGGUCUUCCACGACUUCUGUGCCGUAGCUAACGCAUUAAGCGCCCCGCCUGGGGAGUACGGCCGCAAGGCUAAAACUCAAAGGAAUUGACGGGG
rnacentral:rRNA from 1 species